CCGCCUGGGGAGUACGGCCGCAAGGUUAAAACUCAAAUGAAUUGACGGGGGCCCGCACAAGCGGUGGAGCAUGUGGUUUAAUUCGAUGCAACGCGAAGAACCUUACCUGGUCUUGACAUCCACGGAAGUUUUCAGAGAUGAGAAUGUGCCUUCGGGAACCGUGAGACAGGUGCUGCAUGGCUGUCGUCAGCUCGUGUUGUGAAAUGUUGGGUUAAGUCCCGCAACGAGCGCAACCCUUAUCCUUUGUUGCCAGCGGUCCGGCCGGGAACUCAAAGGAGACUGCCAGUGAUAAACUGGAGGAAGGUGGGGAUGACGUCAAGUCAUCAUGGCCCUUACGACCAGGGCUACACACGUGCUACAAUGGCGCAUACAAAGAGAAGCGACCUCGCGAGAGCAAGCGGACCUCAUAAAGUGCGUCGUAGUCC
rnacentral:rRNA from 1 species